GAUGAACGCUAGCUACAGGCUUAACACAUGCAAGUCGAGGGGCAGCAUGGUCUUAGCUUGCUAAGACUGAUGGCGACCGGCGCACGGGUGAGUAACACGUAUCCAACCUGCCGUCUACUCUUGGACAGCCUUCUGAAAGGAAGAUUAAUACAAGAUGGCAUCAUGAGUCCGCAUGUUCACAUGAUUAAAGGUAUUCCGGUAGACGAUGGGGAUGCGUUCCAUUAGAUAGUAGGCGGGGUAACGGCCCACCUAGUCUUCGAUGGAUAGGGGUUCUGAGAGGAAGGUCCCCCACAUUGGAACUGAGACACGGUCCAAACUCCUACGGGAGGCAGCAGUGAGGAAUAUUGGUCAAUGGGCGAGAGCCUGAACCAGCCAAGUAGCGUGAAGGAUGACUGCCCUAUGGGUUGUAAACUUCUUUUAUAAAGGAAUAAAGUCGGGUAUGGAUACCCGUUUGCAUGUACUUUAUGAAUAAGGAUCGGCUAACUCCGUGCCAGCAGCCGCGGUAAUACGGAGGAUCCGAGCGUUAUCCGGAUUUAUUGGGUUUAAAGGGAGCGUAGAUGGAUGUUUAAGUCAGUUGUGAAAGUUUGCGGCUCAACCGUAAAAUUGCAGUUGAUACUGGAUAUCUUGAGUGCAGUUGAGGCAGGCGGAAUUCGUGGUGUAGCGGUGAAAUGCUUAGAUAUCACGAAGAACUCCGAUUGCGAAGGCAGCCUGCUAAGCUGCAACUGACAUUGAGGCUCGAAAGUGUGGGUAUCAAACAGG
rnacentral:rRNA from 1 species